AGGAGUCCGACCCUGGUGAGGGGGAGCGGGACGGCGAACGGUUGGGGGAGAGGCAACCCUCUGCAAUGUGAGAGGAAAACUUUAUGGGAAGGAAAUGGAAAGACAAGAAACCAUGAUAACAGACAGCAGACAGAAGAGAGGCUACCAAAAAGCGGGCCAGAGAAUUUAGUGCAAGACAGAUUUUAGCAGAACCUUAUCUUCGCUGAUUGGUGUCAAAAAAAGAUAAAGAAAUCUCUGACAUCUGCAAUAAUUGAGCGCAAUUACGAGCGGCCAGAAAUUAAUAACGCCGCUGACCCAAAUCGCGCCACAAAAAGAAGUUCCAAUUACAUUGUUCGCGCGUUAUGCGUUUGAGAACCUCAGCCGAGAGCAGGCGUGAGAGAGGAGAUUUCCACAAGACAAUACUCACCUCUUUUUUGACUGGUAGCAAAUUAUCUCCCUCGUCAUCGCUGAGGGUCGAGC